UACCUGCAGCUCGAGUGGUGAUCGCUAUUAUUGGGCCCAAAACGUCCGUAGCCGGUCUUGUAAAUGCCUGGGUAAAUCGUGUAGCUUAACUAUACGAAUUCCGGGCAGACUGUAAGGCUUGAGACCGGGAGAGGCUAGAGGUACUCCUGGGGUAGAGGUGAAAUUCUGUAAUCCUAGGGGGACCACCAGUGGCGAAGGCGUCUAGCUAGAACGGGUCUGACGGUGAGGGACGAAGCCCUGGGGCGCAAACCGGAUUAGAUACCCGGGUAGUCCAGGGUGUAAACGCUGCUUGCUUGAUGUUAGUCGGGCUCCGAGCCCGAUUAGUGUCGGAGUGAAGAUGUUAAGCAAGCUGCCUGGGAAGUACGGUCGCAAGAUUGAAACUUAAAGGAAUUGGGCGGGGAGCACAGCAACGGGUGGAGCGUGCGGUUU
rnacentral:rRNA from 1 species